GACAUAGGUGGCGAACGUUAUCCGGAUUUAUUGGGCGUAAAGGAUGCGUAGAUGGUGGAAUAAGUUAUUGGUCGAGGUCAAGCUCAACUUGGCGGAAGCUGGUAAUACUGUUCUACUUGAGGACAGGAGAGGUUGGCGGAAUUCUGUGUGGAGCGGUGAAAUGCGUUGAUCUACAGAGGAACACCAAAAAGGGCGAAGGCAGCUAACUAUUCUGAUCCUGACAUUGAGGCAUGAAAGCGUGGGGAGCAAACCGG
rnacentral:rRNA from 1 species